UACGUAGGGUGCAAGCGUUAAUCGGAAUUACUGGGCGUAAAGCGUGCGUAGGCGGUUUGUUAAGUCUGUUGUGAAAUCCCCGGGCUCAACCUGGGAAUGGCAAUGGAUACUGGCAAGCUAGAGUGUGUCAGAGGAUGGUGGAAUUCCCGGUGUAGCGGUGAAAUGCGUAGAGAUCGGGAGGAACAUCAGUGGCGAAGGCGGCCAUCUGGGACAACACUGACGCUGAGGCACGAAAGCGUGGGGAGCAAACAGGG
rnacentral:rRNA from 1 species